UGGUUGCUGGGCUUUGGUUUCUUUCGGUGCUUGGGAGCUGCUGCGAUUUCUUGACCUUAUUCUACAUCGGUAAUGGAUCUUUGAAUUCAAAGGUUUUACUAAGUUUCUCUAAUCUUUCGUAUUUAGACCUAAGAUUGGGCAUUUUUCUUUUCUCUGCGGAUGCCAAGUAGUGUUUGUGAUGCUUCACACGGUGCCGGUUUUGUACGAGAAGUAUGAAGACAAGGUGGAUUCCUUUGCAGAAAAGGCAAUUGCAGAGAUCAAGCAGCAGUAUGCGGUUUUCGACGCCAAGGUUCUAAGUAUGAUCCCUCGUGCCCCAGCGAAGAAUAAGAAGCACUUGUAAACAAAAACAGAAGCGCUUCUGCAGCUGUU
rnacentral:lncRNA from 1 species